rnacentral:rRNA from 1 species
UACGAAGGGGACUAGCGUUGUUCGGAUUUACUGGGCGUAAAGGGCGCGUAGGCGGCCACCGCAAGUCGACUGUGAAAUCUCCGGGCUUAACCCGGAAAGGUCAGCCGAUACUGCGGGGCUAGAGUGCAGAAGGGGCAACUGGAAUUCUCGGUGUAGCGGUGAAAUGCGUAGAUAUCGAGAGGAACACCUGCGGCGAAGGCGGGUUGCUGGGCUGACACUGACGCUGAUGUGCGAAAGCGUGGGGAGCAAACAGG